GCCUUGUUAGCGCAGUAAGUAGCGUGUCAGUCCUAUAAUCUGAAGGUUGUGAGUUUGAGCCUCGCACAGGGCA